AACGAACGCUGGCGGCAUGCCUAACACAUGCAAGUCGAACGAGACCUUCGGGUCUAGUGGCGCACGGGUGCGUAACGCGUGGGAACCUGCCCUUAGGUUCGGAAUAACUCCCCGAAAGGGGUGCUAAUACCGGAUAAUGUCUUCGGACCAAAGAUUUAUCGCCUUUGGAUGGGCCCGCGUUGGAUUAGCUAGUUGGUAGGGUAAAAGCCUACCAAGGCGACGAUCCAUAGCUGGUCUGAGAGGAUGAUCAGCCACACUGGGACUGAGACACGGCCCAGACUUCUACGGGAGGGAGCAGUGGGGGAUAGUGGACAAUGGGCCGAAGGCUGAUCCAGCCAUGGCGGGGGAGUGAUGAAGGGCUUAGGGUUGAAAAGCUCUUUUACCCGGGAUGAUAAUGACAGUACCGGGAGAAUAAGCUCCGGCUAACUCCGUG
rnacentral:rRNA from 1 species